AAUUACGGGAUACGAACUGAAAAGGCGACAGUGUAUCUGUGAUUAUCUGAGCUGGCGACAGUGUAUUAGUCGCCACCCUCUGAGCCGUUUAUGAUAAUUUCAUUAAUUAAAAACUAGUUUGAGUGACAAAAUAGUAUGUUACCACUAUAGCUUAUAAGAACUGGCAGUAUGAAGCGAUAGUGCAAAGUGUUAGCUGAAUUCAAGUCCUGGAUCCGCCAUCUACUUAAUGAUGCCGGAUGUCCAAAUUGUUGAGAUCAUUGAGUUUAGACAGGAUAUGAAUGGAUCUGAAAUUGGAGUGUUGAUAGAACAAAAUAAUCUAUAUAUGUAGGUAUAGGUGGAUUUCCUAGUGUUGAUAUACUCCUUAUGAUGAAGGCGCAAAGCUAUCGGAAUUUGGUCCAAAAACACCGGGAAAAAGUCCGGCAAUUGGAUGCACCACAGUAUUUCUAGUGCAAAGAUUCCCUCUCUGCGGUAAAUGUAGGGUGGCUGCACUUAAAAACAAUAUGACAUCGAUGUGGUUGUGUUCGGACCAGUUCUCAAAAUAAAAUUUCCACGGCAGUGUUAUUCGAUUACAGCAGCUUGAAACUAGAUUUAUGAGGUUUCGUCACCGCUGGGCUAGUUCAUUUAUAGUUGCCUAGUUUCAUAUUCUUUUCUUUUCUGGGUACGUUUACUACUGCAAGAUUCAACUUUUCAAUCUACAAUUCAACAUCCAAUAAA